rnacentral:rRNA from 1 species
AGAGUUUGAUCCUGGCUCAGAACGAACGCUGGCGGCAGGCCUAAUACAUGCAAGUCGAGCGCGCCCUUCGGGGUGAGCGGCGGACGGGUUAGUAACGCGUGGGAACGUGCCCUUCUCUAAGGAAUAGCCACUGGAAACGGUGAGUAAUACCUUAUACGCCCCCCAAUCAAAUUCCAUUUGGUUGACGGAAAUUCUGUUGAAUGCCGGAUGGCAUUUGAUGGGGGGGAAAGAUUUAUCGGAGAAGGAUCGGCCCGCGUUAGAUUAGAUAGUUGGUGGGGUAAUGGCCUACCAAGUCUACGAUCUAUAGCUGGUUUUAGAGGAUGAUCAGCAACACUGGGACUGAGACACGGCCCAGACUCCUACGGGAGGCAGCAGUAGGGAAUCUUGGACAAUGGGCGCAAGCCUGAUCCAGCCAUGCCGCGUGAGUGAAGAAGGCCUUAGGGUCGUAAAGCUCUUUCGCCUGUGAUGAUAAUGACAGUAGCAGGUAAAGAAACCCCGGCUAACUCCGUGCCAGCAGCCGCGGUAAUACGGAGGGGGUUAGCGUUGUUCGGAAUUACUGGGCGUAAAGCGCGCGUAGGCGGAUUGGAAAGUUAGAGGUGAAAUCCCGGGGCUCAACCCCGGAACGGCCUUUAAAACUCCCAGUCUAGAGUUCGAGAGAGGUGAGUGGAAUUCCAAGUGUAGAGGUGAAAUUCGUAGAUAUUUGGAGGAACACCAGUGGCGAAGGCGGCUCACUGGCUCGAUACUGACGCUGAGGUGCGAAAGUGUGGGGAGCAAACAGGAUUAGAUACCCUGGUAGUCCACACCGUAAACGAUGAAUGCCAGUCGUCGGAUAGUAUACUAUUCGGUGACACACCUAACGGAUUAAGCAUUCCGCCUGGGGAGUACGGUCGCAGAUUAAAACUCAAAGGAAUUGACGG